ensembl:lncRNA
AUCUAUUGAAUCCAUUCUCGAAUAAGGCUGUGGGAAAAAGUCCAGGGUUUGAAUAGUUUACGAAUGCACACAGACUUGACAGAAAACACACUGCUCUACUUUCUCUUGUACACUAAGGACCAGAUAAAGAGUUGGAGAGAAGAAGGUUCCUAUUUGAAAAACCUAGAAAAAAAAUAAGUAACUAGAGAAGGUUGGAGACCCCUGGUAUACAGGAAGUAUGCAGCUCAGACGUGUGUGUGGUUGGAGACCCCUGGUAUACAGGAAGUAUGCAGCUCAGACGUGUGUGUGGUUGGAGACCCCUGGUAUACAGGAAGUAUUCAGCUCAGACGUGUGUGUGUGUGGUUGGUACCCCUGGUAUACAGGAAGUAUGCAGCUCAGACGCGUGUGUGUGGUUGGAGACCCCUGGUAUACAGGAAGUAUGCAGCUCAGACGUGUGUGUGUGGUUG